GCCCAGACGCUGGGCUCCCGGCUUGCCCGACUCAAGCGCGGGGUCCCCCUGUCGAGCGCGGGUUUGAAGAGGCCGCGAGCCUGGUGCCAACUUCGGCGGUGCCAGGGGCGCAGCACCCGGAUAUGCUGCUGGCACACGAUCAAGUGGUGAACGGUAAAGGAAGGUGAAGGAACCACCAGGCGCCCAGAAUCGCUCCACUCAACAUCACAAAGAGAGUUGGCAUAAAGCAAUCUUGGAUUUUCUCAAUAUGAAACUAGAAAAAAGCUGAUAUUUGAGCCAUGAAGCCAUGAGACGGAUAUCAUAGUCACUGGGAGAAACUUUUCUUGACCAAGCCAGAGUUCAGGUUCUUGAGACCUCGUGCAGGGAUCGUGAAAUUUUUUUCCUUAAUAUCACACACAUGCUCUGGAAAGGGGACAUUACUUCAAAAACAGUUAUGUGGAAAACAAAAGGAAAUUGUGAAGACAAACAUUUCUGAGAGGAGGACCCUCUUCCAACUCUCCUGUCUGGAGAUAGAAUACAGAGCCAAACUACCUAACGGCCAUCUCACAUUCUGUUGUCUGAAGAUGGAAACUUUUGAGAAGAUGUCUUUCUCACUUUAUUGAACCCUGUUUUCCUCCAUACUCCAUUUUUACCUGGAUCCUAUAAUUGCUAAUAAAAAUUCCACUGAUUAGA